GCGGUAAUACGGAGGGAGCUAGCGUUGUUCGGAAUUACUGGGCGUAAAGCGCACGUAGGCGGCUUUGUAAGUUAGAGGUGAAAGCCUGGAGCUCAACUCCAGAACUGCCUUUAAGACUGCAUCGCUUGAAUCCAGGAGAGGUGAGUGGAAUUCCGAGUGUAGAGGUGAAAUUCGUAGAUAUUCGGAAGAACACCAGUGGCGAAGGCGGCUCACUGGACUGGUAUUGACGCUGAGGUGCGAAAGCGUGGGGAGCAAACAGGAUU
rnacentral:rRNA from 1 species